rnacentral:rRNA from 1 species
GACGAACGCUGGCGGCGUGCUUAACACAUGCAAGUCGAACGGAAAGGCCCUGCUUUUGUGGGGUGCUCGAGUGGCGAACGGGUGAGUAACACGUGAGUAACCUGCCCUUGACUUUGGGAUAACUUCAGGAAACUGGGGCUAAUACCGGGUAGGAGCUCCUGCUGCAUGGUGGGGGUUGGAAAGUUUCGGCGGUUGGGGAUGGACUCGCGGCUUAUCAGCUUGUUGGUGGGGUAGUGGCUUACCAAGGCUUUGACGGGUAGCCGGCCUGAGAGGGUGACCGGCCACAUUGGGACGGAGAUACGGCCCAGACUCCUACGGGAGGCAGCAGUGGGGAAUAUUGCACAAUGGGCGGAAGCAUGAUGCAGCAACGCCGCGUGCGGGAUGACGGCCUUCGGGUUGGAAACCGCUUUCGCCUGUGACGAAGCGUGAGUGACGGUAAUGGGGAAAGAAGCACCGGCUAACUACGU